ACGGGAGGCAGCAGUGAGGAAUAUUGGUCAAUGGACGGAAGUCUGAACCAGCCAAGUCGCGUGCGGGAUGAAGGCCCUACGGGUCGUAAACCGCUUUUGUACGGGGAUAAAGUCACCCACGUGUGGGUGUUUGUAGGUACCGUAAGAAUAAGGAUCGGCUAACUCCGUGCCAGCAGCCGCGGUAAUACGGAGGAUCCGAGCGUUAUCCGGAUUUAUUGGGUUUAAAGGGUGCGCAGGCGGUCGAUUAAGUCAGUGGUCAAAUCACGGUGCUCAACGCCGUUCCGCCAUUGAUACUGGUUGACUUGAUUCCGGUCGAGGCAGGCGGAAUUCGUAGUGUAGCGGUGAAAUGCAUAGAUAUUACGAAGAACUCCGAUUGCGUAGGCAGCUUACCAGGCCGGCAAUGACGCUCAUGCACGAAAGUGCGGGGAUCGAACAGGAUUAGAUACCCUGGUA
rnacentral:rRNA from 1 species